rnacentral:piRNA from 1 species
AUGCAUUCCGUGGANCAGGCUGCAGAGUUG